rnacentral:rRNA from 1 species
CACUCCUGCGGGAGGCAGCAGUGGGGAAUAUUGGACAAUGGGCGCAAGCCUGAUCCAGCCAUGCCGCGUGAGUGAUGAAGGCCCCAGGGUUGUAAAGCUCUUUUGUGCGGGAAGAUAAUGACGGUACCGCAAGAAUAAGCCCCGGCUAACUUCGUGCCAGCAGCCGCGGUAAUACGAAGGGGGCUAGCGUUGCUCGGAAUCACUGGGCGUAAAGGGUGCGUAGGCGGGUCUUUAAGUCAGGGGUGAAAUCCUGGAGCUCAACUCCAGAACUGCCUUUGAUACUGAAGAUCUUGAGUUCGGGAGAGGUGAGUGGAACUGCGAGUGUAGAGGUGAAAUUCGUAGAUAUUCGCAAGAACACCAGUGGCGAAGGCGGCUCACUGGCCCGAUACUGACGCUGAGGCACGAAAGCGUGGGGAGCAAACAGGAUUAGAUACCCUUGUAGUCCCAUG